GCGAUGGCCCCGGGUGAAAAGGGAACCGGGUGGGAAUCCCGGACAGACGGUGCUGCUGUGUGCCCCCCUUGAAAAUACCCUGCACCAGGCCACUGCGCAUUGGCCCGACAGCAUGGGACUGCGUGGGAAGGGCUGGUCGCAUGACUAUGGGGUAGGGGCGAGUCAGAAGACCUGCCAAGUCGUUA
rnacentral:ncRNA from 1 species